AUUGAACGCUGGCGGCAUGCUUUACACAUGCAAGUCGAACGGUAACAGGCCGCAAGGUGCUGACGAGUGGCGAACGGGUGAGUAAUGCAUCGGAACGUGCCCAGUCGUGGGGGAUAACGCAGCGAAAGCUGCGCUAAUACCGCAUACGAUCUCUGGAUGAAAGCGGGGGACCGAAAGGCCUCGCGCGAUUGGAGCGGCCGAUGUCAGAUUAGGUAGUUGGUGGGGUAAAGGCCCACCAAGCCAACGAUCUGUAGCUGGUCUGAGAGGACGACCAGCCACACUGAAAAUGAGACACGGCCCAGACUCCUACGGGAGGCAGCAGUGGGGAAUUUUGGAAAAUGGGCGCAAGCCUGAUCCAGCAAUGCCGCGUGCAGGAAGAAGGCCUUCGGGUUGUAAACUGCUUUUGUACGGAACGAAACGGUCCGGGUUAAUACCCUGGGCUAAUGACGGUACCGUAAGAAUAAGCACCGGCUAACUACGUGCCAGCAGCCGCCGUAAAAC
rnacentral:rRNA from 1 species